rnacentral:rRNA from 1 species
GAUAAACGCUGGCGGCGCACAUAAGACAUGCAAGUCGAACGGACUGAAGUUUUUGCUUGCAAAAAUGGAAGUUAGUGGCGGACUGGUGAGUAACACGUAAGCAAUCUACCUAUUAGAGGGGAAUAACAGUGAGAAAUCAUUGCUAAUACCGCAUAUUCUUUUUUUAUUGCAUGAUAGAAAAAGGAAAGGAGUAAUCCGCUAGUAGAUGAGCUUGCGCCUGAUUAGCUAGUAGGUGGGGUAAUGGCCUACCUAGGCGACGAUCAGUAGCCGGACUGAGAGGUUGAACGGCCACAUUGGGACUGAGAUACGGCCCAGACUCCUACGGGAGGCAGCAGUCGGGAAUAUUGCGCAAUGGAGGAAACUCUGACGCAGUGACGCCGCGUAUAGGAAGAAGGUUUUCGGAUUGUAAACUAUUGUCGUUAGGGAAGAAAAAGACAGUACCUAAGGAGGAAGCUCCGGCUAACUAUGUGCCAGCAGCUGCGGUAAUACAUAGGGAGCAAGCGUUAUCCGGAAUUAUUGGGUGUAAAGGGUGCGUAGACGGGAAACUAAGUUAGUUGUGAAAUCCCUCGGCUUAACUGAGGAACUGCAACUAAAACUGGUAUUCUUGAGUGUUGGAGAGGAAAGUGGAAUUCCUAGUGUAGCGGUGAAAUGCGUAGAUAUUAGGAGGAACAUCAGUGGCGAANGGCGACUUUCUGGACAAUAACUGACGUUGAGGCACGAAAGUGUGGGGAGCAAACAGGAUUAGAUACCCUGGUAGUCCACACUGUAAACGAUGGAUACUAGGUGUAGGGUGCAUUAAGCAUUCUGUGCCGCCGCUAACGCAUUAAGUAUCCCACCUGGGGAGUACGACCGCAAGGUUGAAACUCAAAGGAAUUGACGGGGGCCCGCACAAGCAGUGGAGUAUGUGGUUUAAUUCGAAGCAACGCGAAGAACCUUACCAGGGCUUGACAUAUAUCUGAAUAUACUAGAGAUAGUAUAGACCUUCGGGACAGAUAUACAGGUGGUGCAUGGUUGUCGUCAGCUCGUGUCGUGAGAUGUUGGGUUAAGUCCCGCAACGAGCGCAACCCCUAUUGUUAGUUGCCAGCACGUUAAGGUGGGAACUCUAGCAAGACUGCCGGUGAUAAAUCGGAGGAAGGUGGGGAUGACGUCAAAUCAUCAUGCCCUUUAUGUCCUGGGCUACACACGUACUACAAUGGCUAUUACAAAGGGAUGCGAAAUAGAGAUAUGGAGCGAAACCCCAAAAAAUAGUCUCAGUUCGGAUUGAAGGCUGAAAUUCGCCUUCAUGAAGCUGGAAUUGCUAGUAAUGGCAGGUCAGCAUACUGCCGUGAAUACGUUCCCGGGCCUUGUACACACCGCCCGUCACACCAUGAGAGUUGGGAAUACCCGAAGCCUGUGAGCUAACUGUAAGGAGGCAGCAGUCGAAGGUAGAAUCAAUGAUUGGGGUG